UACGAAGGGGGCUAGCGUUGCUCGGAAUCACUGGGCGUAAAGCGCACGUAGGCGGACUCUUAAGUCGGUGGUGAAAUCCUGGAGCUCAACUCCAGAACUGCCUUUGAUACUGAAAGUCUUGAGUACGGGAGAGGUGAGUGGAACUGCGAGUGUAGAGGUGAAAUUCGUAGAUAUUCGCAAGAACACCAGUGGCGAAGGCGGCUCACUGGCCCGUAACUGACGCUGAGGCACGAAAGCGUGGGGAGCAAACAGG
rnacentral:rRNA from 1 species